UACGUAGGUCCCGAGCGUUGUCCGGAUUUAUUGGGCGUAAAGCGAGCGCAGGUGGCUUAUUAAGUCUGGUGUAAAAGGCAGUGGCUCAACCAUUGUAUGCAUUGGAAACUGGUAGACUUGAGUGCAGGUGAGGAGAGUGGAAUUCCAUGUGUAGCGGUGAAAUGCGUAGAUAUAUGGAGGAACACCGGUGGCGAAAGCGGCUCUCUGGCCUGUAACUGACACUGAGGCUCGAAAGCGUGGGGAGCAAACAGG
rnacentral:rRNA from 1 species